rnacentral:rRNA from 1 species
GAUGAACGCUGGCGGCGUGCCUAAUACAUGCAAGUCGAGCGAACGGACGAGAAGCUUGCUUCUCUGAUGUUAGCGGCGGACGGGUGAGUAACACGUGGAUAACCUACCUAUAAGACUGGGAUAACUUCGGGAAACCGGAGCUAAUACCGGCUAAUAUUUUGAACCGCAUGGUUCAAAAGUGAAAGACGGUCCUGCUGUCACUUAUAGAUGGAUCCGCGCUGCAUUAGCUAGUUGGUAAGGUAACGGCUUACCAAGGCAACGAUGCAUAGCCGACCUGAGAGGGUGAUCGGCCACACUGGAACUGAGACACGGUCCAGACUCCUACGGGAGGCAGCAGUAGGGAAUCUUCCGCAAUGGGCGAAAGCCUGACGGAGCAACGCCGCGUGAGUGAUGAAGGUCUUCGGAUCGUAAAACUCUGUUAUUAGGGAAGAACAUAUGUGUAAGUAACUGUGCACAUCUUGACGGUACCUAAUCAGAAAGCCACGGCUAACUACGUG